AAAUCCCCAAUGAAACCACGCCCGCUUCAAAUCGCGCGGCAAAGAUCGAGCGGCAAAGUCAAAGACAAAGACAAAGACAAAGUCAAGCAGGCAUGGCCGGUUCUCUCGGAGUCCAGGACAUCGAACGGGUGGUUAUUGCAGCUGUACGGGCUGCACUCCAGGGUGUAGCUCCCCCGGUCCAGUCCACAUCAGCAACGGUAAGUUAAGUUGUUUUAAUUUGAGUUCUUUAUGCAGACGAGGGGGUUAGCCACUGUUAGCUAACCCAGCCAGUUAGCUGUGUGAUAUGCUAGCUGAAGUUUUGUUAUCCACUCCCCCCCACUGUAAGGACUCUCUGUAGCCUAGUUGACUUAGUGAUUACCAGUGACAAAACCGACCACUUACUCUAUGAAGCCUGUGCUGUGGUUAACAUGUGUAAUAUCAACGUACUUUGCCGCUAUAUCUCACAUCUAAAAUGCGGGCUCUUGUUUCAGGUUUCAACACCAACGGUGCCCAGUGCCUCAGGCACUUCCAACUUUGCCACCACCGUCACAUCACUGAGAUCAGCUCCUCUGCCAUCCAUCCCGCUACGUAAUCGGGCUCAAUCGGGAUACUUGAGACGAAGGAAUGUCAAAACAUACACGUAGGAUGUUGUAUGUUUAACUUUUUCACCGGGGGUAUCGGUCUUCAUUAUACCCAGAGGAGAAAC
ensembl:lncRNA